rnacentral:rRNA from 1 species
AUGGGCGGCGACGACGACGUACGGCAUGGCGAGGGUGGACAGGACUGCUGUUGCAGUAGCCCGCUCAGGAAAGACGUACGUGGUCGCACUCGUAGAGAUUUUGCUCGCUGGCUGGGGUACGUCUCGCCUUUUGAAACCAAACCACCUCCCGUGGAUCGGAUCGGAUCAGAAAUAGAGCAGGCGCCGUUCGCCAACGUCGACCCGGCGACGGCGGCCGAUGCACAACGCCAGGGUUGCAAUCCCCACAAGCUUGACCAACCCGCGGAAAACGUUCUAUCCUACAUCUACGCCACCCUCCCCAACUUCCCCGUCUACCCUGGCACGCGGCUCCCCGUCCUCGCCGCCUCCUCCGACGGCAUCGACCGCGUCAGCCGCCUCCCCGACGAGCCACUGCGUAAUAUUGUCGCCCGCCUCCCCGUCAAGGACGUCGUGCGCACCACCGCGCUCUCCUUCCGUUGGUGCGCACUAUGGCCUUCAACGCCCCUCGUCCGCAUCGACGCCUUCCUCCUCCCCAAAGCCGGGGCUUCCGCCCCACGCCGGCCAACUCGCCGGCCCUCACGGCCACCGUCUUCGACAUCCUUGAAGCGCACCCGGGGCCCUUCCGCUAUAUCCACCUCGUCUGCAGACCUCGUCCUCGUCAACCGCCCGUGGCCGUGCAACGAGCCCCUCCCGGCCACGCUUUUUACCAUCACCCCCCUCACUCGCCUCUACCUCGGCUUGUGGACGUUGCCGGACACGGCUGCCCUGCGUGGUGCCUCCUUCUCCCACCUCUGUGAGCUCGGCCUCUGCAGCGUCGAAAUGGAGCACGGCGUCGUCGACUCCCUCAUCGCCAGGAGCCCCGUCCUGGAGGUCCUCAACAUCCUGGGAUGCAUCAACGGGUUGCGUCUCCGCCUCCUUAGCCAGAGCCUAUGCUGCCUGCAAAUUAGCUGCUCGAAAAUGGAGCACAUUACCGUGGUAAAAGCUCCAUGCCUCGAGCGGCUCAUCCUGUAUGGAUCUGGCAAAAUCACUCGUGGGUUGUGCAGCAGACUCAAGAUUUACGAUGUCCCCAAGCUGCACACAUUUGGAUACAGGCAUAUCGUCUAA